CCUACGGGUGGCUGCAGUGGGGAAUAUUGGACAAUGGGCGAAAGCCUGAUCCAGCCAUGCCGCGUGUGUGAAGAAGGCCUUCGGGUUGUAAAGCACUUUCAGUGGGGAAGAAAGCCUUGGGGCUAAUACCCUCGAGGAAGGACAUCACCCACAGAAGAAGCACCGGCUAACUCCGUGCCAGCAGCCGCGGUAAUACGGAGGGUGCGAGCGUUAAUCGGAAUUACUGGGCGUAAAGCGCGCGUAGGCGGUCUGAUAAGCCGGUUGUGAAAGCCCCGGGCUCAACCUGGGAACAGCAUCCGGAACUGUCAGGCUAGAGUGCAGGAGAGGAAGGUAGAAUUCCCGGUGUAGCGGUGAAAUGCGUAGAGAUCGGGAGGAAUACCAGUGGCGAAGGCGGCCUUCUGGACUGACACUGACGCUGAGGUGCGAAAGCGUGGGUAGCAAACAGGAUUAGAUACCCCAGUAGUC
rnacentral:rRNA from 1 species